AGGGGUGAAAAGAGACCUGUUCAGGGGCGGUGCCCAGUGAGGAGACCCUCAAACGAGGGGCAGAGUCCCUCAAGCCUUUGUACAAUGCCACCAAGGGUGCUGCCCCUUCUUCAACAGAACGUCCUCCUUGCAGGGAGGCUGCAGUGAUGUCAGAGAAUCACAGGCCAGAGGUGAGAGCUGGAGAAAGGGAAACUCUCCCAGUCCCUGGGAGUGGUCAUUACAGACUGGGAAAUCGCCCUCCAGCUGAUGGUAAAGGACUGCAAAUCCUAUUCAUGUGACUCAGGGCCUCCGGUGUGCCUUCUGGGAAGAAAGCAGAAGAGGGUUCCUAACUGUAGAAGGGAAAAGUUUCCCUUUAUUCUUCCAGCCACGUGAUGACACAGGUCUGCCCUGGAAGGGCUCCUUUCCAGGGCUCAGGGACUCUGUGACUCCUUUUGGGGAGCAGAGUUGUGGACAAGAGUGCAUUUUUCUAGAGAGAUGGUCCACAAGCCAUCCAGAGCCAGGCUCUGUCUCCAGGUACCCUUGAUCCUUGGAGACCUC
rnacentral:lncRNA from 1 species